rnacentral:rRNA from 1 species
UACGGGGGGAGCAAGCGUUGUUCGGAAUUACUGGGCGUAAAGCGCGCGUAGGCGGCUUUGUAAGUUAGAGGUGAAAGCCCGGGGCUCAACUCCGGAACUGCCUUUAAGACUGCAUCGCUUGAAUCCGGGAGAGGUGAGUGGAAUUCCGAGUGUAGAGGUGAAAUUCGUAGAUAUUCGGAAGAACACCAGUGGCGAAGGCGGCUCACUGGACCGGUAUUGACGCUGAGGUGCGAAAGCGUGGGGAGCAAACAGG